rnacentral:rRNA from 1 species
GGCUCCCUGUUUUUUCACAAUGGGAGUCGGACCUGCUCGGUGAAUUAUUUUAACAGCCGCGGUACUCUGACCGUGCAAAGGUAGCAUAAUCAUUUGCCUUAUAAUUGAAGGCUAGUAUGAAUGGUUUGACGAGAAUUGAGCUGUCUCUUUUCAACUAAAUAUAAUUUUAUUAAUAGGUGAAGAAGCCUAUAUUUCAUUGAAAGACAAGAAGACCCUAUCGAGCUUUAAGGAAUUUAAUAGACUCGCCAUAUAUUUAUAGAAAAACGAGACUACUAAAAACUUUGGUUGGGGCGACUGAGGAACAAAUAAAGCUUCCUCUUGAUUUAAAAUAACUUACAGGUAUUGAUCCAAUAAAUUUGAUUAAAGGAAUUAGUUACCGUAGGGAUAACAGCAUAAUCCCCUUUGAGAGUCCUUAUCGAAAAGGGGGUUUGUGACCUCGAUGUUGGACCAGAAUACCCAGAAGAUGCAGCCGUCUUCAAUGGUUGGUCUGUUCGACCAUUAAAAUUCU